rnacentral:rRNA from 1 species
CGCGUAGGAACCUGCCCAGUAGUGGGGGAUAGCCCGGUGAAAACCGGAUUAAUACCGCAUACGCUCUACGGAGGAAAGGGGGCUUCGGCUCUCGCUAUUGGAUGGGCCUGCGUGAGAUUAGCUAGUUGGUGAGGUAAUGGCUCACCAAGGCGACGAUCUCUAGCUGGUCUGAGAGGAUGAUCAGCCACACUGGGACUGAGACACGGCCCAGACUCCUACGGGAGGCAGCAGUGGGGAAUAUUGCACAAUGGGCGCAAGCCUGAUGCAGCCAUGCCGCGUGUGUGAAGAAGGCUUUCGGGU